GCUCCUGUGGUGAAAUGGAUAUCAUAACUGCCUUCGAAGCAGUCGUUGGGGGUUCGAAUCCCUCCGGGAGCA
rnacentral:tRNA from 1 species